rnacentral:rRNA from 1 species
GAUGAACGCUGGCGGCGUGCCUAAUACAUGCAAGUCGAGCGAACGGACGAGAAGCUUGCUUCUCUGAUGUUAGCGGCGGACGGGUGAGUAACACGUGGAUAACCUACCUAUAAGACUGGGAUAACUUCGGGAAACCGGAGCUAAUACCGGAUAAUAUUUUGAACCGCAUGGUUCAAAAGUGAAAGACGGUCUUGCUGUCACUUAUAGAUGGAUCCGCGCUGCAUUAGCUAGUUGGUAAGGUAACGGCUUACCAAGGCAACGAUGCAUAGCCGACCUGAGAGGGUGAUCGGCCAACCAGGAACUGAGACACCGGCCAGACUCCUAAGGGAGGCAGCAGUAGGGAAUCUUCCGAAAUGGGCGAAAGCCUGAACGAGCAACCCCGCGUGAGUGAUGAAGGUCUUCGGAUUGUAAAACUCUGUUAUUAGGGAAGAACAUAUGUGUAAGUAACUGUGCACAUCUUGACGGUACCUAAUCAGAAAGCCACGGCUAACUACGUG